GACGAACGCUGGCGGCGGGCUUAACACAUGCAAGUCGAACGGAAGAGCCCUGCUUUUGUGUGGUGCGCGAGUGGCGAACGGGUAAGUAACACGUAAGUAACCUGCCCUUGACUUUGGGAUAACUUCAGGAAACUGGAGCAAAUACUGAAUUGGAGCUCCUGCUGCAUGGUUAGGGUUGGAAAGUUUCGGCGGAGGGGGAUGGACUCGCGGCUUAUUAGCUUGUUGGGGGGGUAGUGGCUUACCAAGGCUUUGGUGGGUAGCCGGCCUGAGAGGGUGACCGGCCAAAUGGGGACAGUGCUACGGCCCAGACCCCUAAGGGAGACAGCAGUGUGGAAUAGUGCAUGAUGGGCGGAAGCCUGAUGCAGCAACGCCGCGUGAGGGAUGACGGCCUUCGGGUUGUAAACCGCUAUCGCCUGUGACGAAGCGUGAGUGACGGUAAUGGGUAAAGAAGCACCGGCUAACUACGUG
rnacentral:rRNA from 1 species